UAAUCAUUUAUGAGUGCUAUACAAUAGUCCAGGAAAGCUGUAAGAGAAAAACUCCUUAUAUUCAUGUGCAGAAUUAUUAGGCUGUUUUCUUUUACAGAUGAAAUGCGCUAAAAAAGAGUUUUAACUCAAACUGUUUUAACUCAAAGUCGAAAAUUAUGAAAUACCCAUGAGAAAUAUCAAACACAAAUGCAAUACAGAAAUGGAUAAGUUAAGACUCGACCAUUGUACAAAAAUGCUGACUGGGUCAUGAGGUCAGAAAAGAAGAAGAAAAAAAAAAACAGGUCAAGAAGAACUGACAAAAAUAAUUGCAAAAUAAUUAGGAAUUAAUGUGAAGAUUAAUUUUUAGUCAAUUCUGCAAGACAGACUUUCAGGAAAGGAGGUGGAAUAAAAAUGAGCUCCUAAAUCUUAAUCCCGGAUUCUGGAAGAUAUAUUCCUCAAACCAUCGGACAAGAGGAGGUGGUGCUGGUCCUUCAUGAGUCACUCUAAUCUGUUCAUAAAGCCUAUAUAUAAAGUCUUAAUAUAUAGUAUUUCACAAUACUUCAUGGUAUUCUAAUCAAAUCAUUUUUUGGAAUCUUAGAUCUCUCAGAACCUGACACCGAG